AAGAUAAGAAUUAGUCAUGUAUCUCCUAUGAUAUGAAAUCAUUAAUAUUUUGAUAUAAAUAUUUAGCAAGACGGUUAAACUAGUUAAUUUAUUGAUUAAGCUCAAGAAGUUAAAGGAGGAGAAUCAAGCAAAGGCAAAGGAAAGAACAUUGAGUAGCCGAGUUGGAACCGUUUUACCCAACACAAGGUAAGUUAUCAAGCAUAUAUUUUGUAUUGAUUUAAAUAAUCAUAAUACUUAUGUACUUAUGCCGAAUGGGAUGAUAUAUAAAUGCA
rnacentral:lncRNA from 1 species